rnacentral:rRNA from 1 species
GACGAACGCUGGCGGCGUGCCUAAUACAUGCAAGUAGAACGCUGAAGGAGGAGCUUGCUUCUCUGGAUGAGUUGCGAACGGGUGAGUAACGCGUAGGUAACCUGCCUGGUAGCGGGGGAUAACUAUUGGAAACGAUAGCUAAUACCGCAUAAGAGUAGAUGUUGCAUGACAUUUGCUUAAAAGGUGCAAUUGCAUCACUACCAGAUGGGCCUGCGUUGUAUUAGCUAGUUGGUGGGGUAACGGCUCACCAAGGCGACGAUACAUAGCCGACCUGAGAGGGGGAUCGGCCACACUGGGAAUGAGACACGGCCCAGACUCCUACGGGAGGCAGCAGUAGGGAAUCUUCGGCAAUGGACGGAAGUCUGACCGAGCAACGCCGCGUGAGUGAAGAAGGUUUUCGGAUCGUAAAGCUCUGUUGUAAGAGAAGAACGAGUGUGAGAGUGGAAAGUUCACACUGUGACGGUAUCUUACCAGAAAGGGACGGCUAACUACGUG